GACUCUGCAGCAAAGCCACUCUUCCUCUUCUGUCAACCUAAAGAAAACUUUGGAGGAAUGUUUAAACGACACAGACUACAAUGAACUGAUGGAGAUAGCAGAGAAUGGCCUCCCAAAGAUAACCACACCUUAUCGUGUUGUUAUUGUUGGGGCUGGCAUGGCUGGACUCACUGCUGCCAAGCUGCUGCAAGAAGCUGGACAUGAGGUAACCAUAUUGGAGGCAAGUGAGCGAGUAGGACGGGUGUUGACCCAUAGGAAUGAAACAGAGGGUUGGUAUGUUGAAUUAGGGGCCAUGAGGAUUCCAUCUUUUCAUCAAGCCUAGGGUCACCAUGUAAAAACCUCGUUCAUCCAGCAACUGAACAUCUCAUUGAAUCACUUCAACAUGACUGACAACAACACCUAUUACCUGGUGAAUGGGAAGAAACACAAGACUUCAGAUGUGACUGAAGACCCCAGCAUCCUGGAUUACCACCUACCAUCUAAUGAGAGGAAUAAAUCAGCCCAUGAUCUGCUUCAGGAGGCAUUACAGGAGGUUCCAGACCUGUUUGAUCCAGCCUCGAGUUCUGGUGUUAAGCAAACUCCUGACCUCUUGAUCUAGGCACCUUCGAUGCUCCUGGACUUUCAAGAUUCAAGUCUCAAGUUUCUUCUUGGAUUAACUCCUGGCUGGCAGCUUCAGGAUUGACAACUAAAUGGCCCAAGUCAGCAGCAAACCCUGUCCAAUAAUCUCGCUGUGGAUGGUGCAGAUGACGGCAUUCUGCUAAUGGCAGACAACUUGCAUCUGAAGAGAAGGCUUGAUACAGGCCUUGCAGUCAACAUUUUUCAGUACUGUGACAAUGUUUAGGGAAGGCCUGAACCCAAAGACCCAAAUACAAUUUCAAAAUUGUCUAUCUGUGGAGGUUAGGGUUAGAGUUUGGGUAUGAUUUGUCAAAGGAAUUAAACCCAUACAUUCAGACAGAUUUUCAGAAUGUGGCCUGGAGACGUUGUGCAUGAGUUACUUCUCUCACAAUGUUACUAAGUUCUAACUGGAGAUAUGAACAACUUUUCCCUAUAAUUUGCACUACUGCUCCCCAUAAAUACUAAAACUUUUGUAACCCAGUGUUUCAUUUUAUUUCAUUAACGCCGACAUCUACCAAGGCUGAAAUCCCUUUAUUUUAUGAAUGGUCCAACCCAUGCAUUAAUUUAGCAAAUGGUUCAAAAUUGUUUUAACAGUCAGGAUCACAUCACAUAGAAUACAUUAAAUUAAACAUAGCUAAUUACAUCAGCUAGAUUUUAUUUUAAAAUGUCAAAUUUCUAAUACUGAGUCAUUUUGGUAGUUAUCUGUCACUGCUAGUUUGGCCAUUUCCUUCUUGCUAAUAGACUGGACACACAAGGGACACUUCCCCCAGGAGGUGUUCCAAUGCCCUGAUUGAUUUAUUUUGCUUUGAUAAUCAUCAGGAUCCUGUUUAAAGAUAAGUGCACAGAAUUCAAAGAGAUCUCAAAUAAAUACAUGGAUCCAGA